rnacentral:pre_miRNA from 1 species
AAUAGUUUUAUGCCACAUCAGUACUUUUAUCCUGAAUUUCAAGAUUUUAUCCUGAAAAAAAUUAAAUCCAAAUUUAAAUACUAAAAUUCAGGAUAAAAUCUUGAAAUUCAAGAUAAGAAUACUGAUGUGGCAUAAAACUAUU